rnacentral:rRNA from 1 species
CCUGGUGCCUAUGGUGCGAUGGAACCACUCUGACCCAUCUCGAACUCAGUUGUGAAACGUCGUUACGGCCAAGAUACUUCAGGGGUAGCUCUGCGGGAAAAUAGCUCGGUGCCAGGU